rnacentral:rRNA from 1 species
AUUGAACGCUGGCGGCAGGCCUAACACAUGCAAGUCGAGCGAGUGGCGGACGGGUGAGUAAUGUAUGGGGAUCUGCCUGAUGGAGGGGGAUAACUACUGGAAAAGGUCGCUAAUAACGCAUACCCUCAUAUGAACCCAUAUGGGAUUAGCUUGUAGGUGGGGUAACGGCUCACCUAGGGGACGAUCCCUAGCUGGUCUGAGAGGAUGAUCAGCCACACUGGGACUGAGACACGGCCCAGACUCCUACGGGAGGCAGCAGGGGGGAAUAUUGCACAAUGGGCGCAAGCCUGAUGCAGCCAUGCCGCGUGUAUGAAGAAGGCCUUCGGGUUGUAAAGUACUUUCAGUCGGGAGGCGUUACCGACAGAAGAAGCACCGGCUAACUCCGUGCCAGCAGCCGCGGUAAUAC